GACGAACGCUGGCGGCGUGCCUAAUACAUGCAAGUUGAGCGAUGAAGAUUGGUGCUUGCACCAAUUUGAAGAGCAGCGAACGGGUGAGUAACGCGUGGGGAAUCUGCCUUUGAGCGGGGGACAACAUUUGGAAACGAAUGCUAAUACCGCAUAACAACUUUAAACAUAAGUUUUAAGUUUGAAAGGUGCAAUUGCAUCACUCAAAGAUGAUCCCGCGUUGUAUUAGCUAGUUGGUGAGGUAAAGGCUCACCAAGGCGAUGAUACAUAGCCGACCUGAGAGGGUGAUCGGCCACAUUGGGACUGAGACACGGCCCAAACUCCUACGGGAGGCAGCAGUAGGGAAUCUUCGGCAAUGGACGAAAGUCUGACCGAGCAACGCCGCGUGAGUGAAGAAGGUUUUCGGAUCGUAAAACUCUGUUGGUAGAGAAGAACGUUGGUGAGAGUGGAAAGCUCAUCAAGUGACGGUAACUACCCAGAAAGGGACGGCUAACUACGU
rnacentral:rRNA from 1 species